rnacentral:rRNA from 1 species
CCUACGGGUGGCAGCAGUGAGGAAUAUUGGUCAAUGGACGAGAGUCUGAACCAGCCAAGCAGCGUGAAGGAUGACUGCCCUAUGGGUUGUAAACUUCUUUUAUAUGGGAAUAAAAUGUUCCACGUGUGGGCUUUUGUAUGUACCAUAUGAAUAAGGAUCGGCUAACUCCGUGCCAGCAGCCGCGGUAAUACGGAGGAUCCGAGCGUUAUCCGGAUUUAUUGGGUUUAAAGGGAGCGUAGGUGGAUUGUUAAGUCAGUUGUGAAAGUUUGCGGCUCAACCGUAAAAUUGCAGUUGAAACUGGCAGUCUUGAGUGCAGUAGAGGUGGGCGGAAUUCGUGGUGUAGCGGUGAAAUGCUUAGAUAUCGCGAAGAACUCCGAUUGCGAAGGCAGCUCACUGGACUGCAACUGACACUGAGGCUCGAAAGUGUGGGUAUCAAACAGGAUUAGAUACCCCUGUAGUC